rnacentral:rRNA from 1 species
AUUGAACGCUGGCGGCAGGCCUAACACAUGCAAGUCGAGCGGAUGACGGGAGCUUGCUCCUUGAUUCAGCGGCGGACGGGUGAGUAAUGCCUAGGAAUCUGCCUGGUAGUGGGGGACAACGUUUCGAAAGGAACGCUAAUACCGCAUACGUCCUACGGGAGAAAGCAGGGGACCUUCGGGCCUUGCGCUAUCAGAUGAGCCUAGGUCGGAUUAGCUAGUUGGUGGGGUAAUGGCUCACCAAGGCGACGAUCCGUAACUGGGCUGAGAGGAUGAUCAGUCACACUGGAACUGAGACACGGUCCAGACUCCUACGGGAGGCAGCAGUGGGGAAUAUUGGACAAUGGGCGAAAGCCUGAUCCAGCCAUGCCGCGUGUGUGAAGAAGGUCUUCGGAUUGUAAAGCACUUUAAGUUGGGAGGAAGGGCAGUAAGCUAAUACCUUGCUGUUUUGACGUUACCGACAGAAUAAGCACCGGCUAACUCUGUGCCAGCCGCCGCCGUAAGAC